rnacentral:lncRNA from 1 species
GGCCAAAUUAACACAAUGGAGAAAGAUCUAUAAUUUUCAAAACCAAAUCUUAUUUCUUUGGUCAAUAAAGGUUUUCGUUGUAUUGAGAUAUACUCCCACAAAAAUAAAAUCCAAAACCCCUAAAAACCAUUGAAUGUCCCAGCAUAAAGGAAAUUAGUAAUUCAGCAAAAAAAAAUAAAUAUACACAAAAUUAUGACAUACCAAACCUAGGGAAAUUAAUGUAUCCCACACUUUUAAUC